rnacentral:rRNA from 1 species
CAAAUCAGGCGGGACUACCCGCUGAACUUAAGCAUAUCAAUAAGCGGAGGAAAAGAAACUAACAAGGAUUCCCCUAGUAACUGCGAGUGAACCGGGAAAAGCUCAAAUUUAAAAUCUGGCAGCUUCGCUGUCCGAGUUGUAAUCUAGAGAAGUGUUAUCCGCGCUGGACCGUGUACAAGUCUCCUGGAAUGGAGCGUCAUAGAGGGUGAGAAUCCCGUCUUUGACACGGACUACCAGGGCUUUGUGAUGCGCUCUCAAAGAGUCGAGUUGUUUGGGAAUGCAGCUCAAAAUGGGUGGUAAAUUCCAUCUAAAGCUAAAUAUUGGCGAGAGACCGAUAGCGAACAAGUACCGUGAGGGAAAGAUGAAAAGAACUUUGGAAAGAGAGUUAAACAGUACGUGAAAUUGUUGAAAGGGAAACGCUUGAGGUCAGUCGCGUCGGCCAGGGAUCAACCUUGCUCUUUUGCGGGGCGUACUUCCUGGUUGACGGGCCAGCAUCAGUUUUGACCGUUGGAAAAAGGUUAGGGGAAUGUGGCAUCCUCGGAUGUGUUAUAGCCCUUAGCCACAUACAACGGUUGGGACUGAGGAACUCAGCACGCCGCAAGGCCGGGGCUUUGCCCACGUACGUGCUUAGGAUGCUGGCAUAAUGGCCUUAAUCGACCCGUCUUGAAACACGGACCAAGGAGUCUAACAUGCCUGCGAGUGUUUGGGUG